CCUACGGGAGGCAGCAGUGGGGAAUAUUGGACAAUGGGCGAAAGCCUGAUCCAGCAAUGCCGCGUGAGUGAUGAAGGCCUUAGGGUUGUAAAGCUCUUUUACCAGGGAUGAUAAUGACAGUACCUGGAGAAUAAGCUCCGGCUAACUCCGUGCCAGCAGCCGCGGUAAUACGGAGGGAGCUAGCGUUGUUCGGAAUUACUGGGCGUAAAGCGUACGUAGGCGGUUAUUCAAGUCAGAGGUGAAAGCCUGGAGCUCAACUCCAGAACUGCCUUUGAAACUAGAUAGCUAGAAUCUUGGAGAGGUGAGUGGAAUUCCGAGUGUAGAGGUGGAAUUCGUAGAUAUUCGGAAGAACACCAGUGGCGAAGGCGACUCACUGGACAAGUAUUGACGCUGAGGUACGAAAGCGUGGGGAGCAAACAGGAUUAGAUACCCUGGUAGUCCACGCCGUAAACGAUGAUAACUAGCUGUUCGGGCUCUACGAGCUUGAGUGGCGCAGCUAACGCAUUAAGUUAUCCGCCUGGGGAGUACGGUCGCAAGAUUAAAACUCAAAGGAAUUGACGG
rnacentral:rRNA from 1 species